CUGACUGUAAAUCUACAGCAGUCUAUUUAUCACUUUCACCAAGGCUAUUGCAAUGCAAACUGGCAAGAGAAUACAGCUGCCUGUGCCUGUACACAGAGCCUAGAGAUGGGUCAAAAGGUGAAUAUAAAUCAACAAUAUCGAGCUGCUGCAUAAAAGGCAAAGCCCGCAGUCCGAGGGAGAAAUGGAGCCGUGGCUGCGUGUGAAGUAGCCCCCAGCGCUGUGUGGGACAGUCACAUUCGGAAAGUUUUGGUUCCUGCACCUUGGUCACUUCAAAAUAAUAGCUUUGAAGUGUGUGGAGCUGUGGUGGAGUUUCCCUUCUGCCUCUCCAUUUGCACAUAUCUGCACUUUCUGCUGGCUACCAGUGGGACUGCACGGAGGCAUACCCUUGGUCUCUCUCCUGUAAGUGAAGUCAGUCCUAUGGAGACUCUGCCUCUGCCACUGCCCUCAGUGUUCUCAGUCUGCAGCAGGAGAAGCUGAUGCUGGAGCAGCCGCUGGAACUUCCCGUGGCUCUCCCAGAUCCCCGUUUCCGAAGGAUUUGAGUGCACAGA